CCCACAACCUCCAGCACUGCCUGCUCUUGAGAGAGUGCGACAGCCACGGCACUGAAGGAUUAAAUUCUGGAUGAAGAAGAAAAAGCAGACAGAGGAAGCAGUGUUUUUAAUCGGACUUGGGGAAAAAAAAGACAGGAAAGCAGGAAAGAACAGCAGCAGGUCUGGACUGCGGAGGCAGAGAUUCCCAGACCUCCCUCUCCACAAUCUGCUCAUCCAGAGUGAUUCUGAGGGAUUCCCAUGCCAGCCAAGAGAUAUAAUCUCAAGUGUGCCCUGGGUCCACCCCAAAGUCUCCUCCAGGUUGGUCAUGCCCUGAGGACCUCCCCAGGAGGGACAUCCCAUGUAAUUUAAAAAAUAAUAAUUGCCGUGAUGGUCUGGCAGCCCAGCUGGCUCCCUUACACCUUCAGGAUCAGAGGUGCUCCUGUGUCCCGCAGUCUGAAAUCACGCAACCAGGCAAAUGGGUGCCACCAAGUUCCCUUUUGUGCGUGACGGUGUGCUCUGUCAUGGACUAGCCUUACAUCCAGGAUGUCCCCCUGUCUCAUGCCAGAACUGGGAGAGGCUCUGCACUCAAUGUGACAUCGUACUGGAAGCAGCUAUGGAGGAUGGAUGCAUGGGUGUAAAUUAUGGGGGAGCUGUAACCCCUCCAGUAGUUAAAAUCAGCCAAUACAACCACCUGAACCCCCUUCAGUGGGUGGAGACCUCAACCCCCCCCCCCCCCCCCAAUGGCCAACACAAAGUUAUGUUCUUGGUUUGAUGUUUUAAUGUGACACUAGACAGCAUGAUUAUCAACAUUAUUAUCCUGAGCUUCGAGAAGAAAGUUGGGGGUCACAAGUCUGAAAUCGAGGUUUGCUGCCAAACCUCUGCAAUGAGCCAUGCCAGGUCAACCUAUGCUCUUAUUGCUCUUUCAGACGCAUGUAUAGAAAAAGACUUCACCUGUUUCUCUGCCUGACUUCACCCAAGAGCUCAGUUCGAAAGCAUAGCCCAUUAGGGGUGGAUAUUUGUAAUAAAAAUGAUAAAAGGAGACUUCUUAUAUAUUACACUGCAAUCGAAAGAGAGCUCAUUGGCUGACACAUGCAGUUAAGGAACGUAGAUGGUAUAACUAAAAUCACCACCUCUACACACCAAAUGGGCAACUUUCUCGCCACCUUAUCCAUACUCAAAAAUACAUAAACAAACGUAAUUCCCUAAAAAUGUUUCUCCGGAGGUGAUUCCCAACCACUGUUUUUAGCCCGGUGUAUUUUUAAAUCACAUGGACACCGCACACACUUUGAAUAUAAAUUCCUGACAAGACUCUCUUGCAAUUUUAUAUGUUCGAGUGUAACAGCAACCCUCAUGGUUUGAGAUGCCUAAACCAUUAAAUCACUAAAGCACCUCCCUAAACAUCAGACCACUAUAGGUCUAUUUUUAAAAUUUCCUCCCUUCGUGGGGUUUGAACCUGGAAGCUUUAUAAAUCACGCUUGUCCCUCUUUACCCAGAACCCCGCACUGCCUCUUCACACAUGUUAUGCUGACUGGAGGCAGGCAGACUGUCUAAAAUAAUGAGUGGGGGGGGGGGGGUAGUUGUGAACUUUCAAGCAGAAUCCAAUCUAAUUAGAAAUCAGUGAGUAAAGAUUUCACAACUUUCUACUUUGCACAUACAACACAUUAUUAAUUUGGAUGGAUGUCAUUGUUUCUCCAUACUGUCUAAAUAAUAUUUUAUUUUUCAUUUUUUUGUUAUUGUAAAAAUGAGAUGUCUGUCGACUGCAUGCACGACUACCUACUUAUAGCAUCUGCCUGGCACAAUGAAUUUUGGGUAAUUAAAAUGGCUGAGCAGAGUCA